CAUCUACAAGAGAUGGUCGCUUAAUUUUAUUAAGAGGAAAGUCCGAACUCCCUGUGGAAACACAGAAGACGGUAGUGGGUAAUACCCACCCAUUAUAUGGCGACAUAUAAUGCGGGAAAGUGCCGCAGAGACAAUACUAUUCCUGCAAUUUACAGGAAGAAAGGUGAAAAGUGUGUACAGGUAUGUAUUAUUUACGCAUAUGCAUAUAAUCCAUGCGAGUACACUCGCACACUGGCAACAGUGCCGCGUGGUAAACCCUACCUGGAGCAAGAGCAGCCCUUUUUAACACAGGUUAAAAUUGGAAAAGUUCGCUCGCAAAGAAUACUGCAGUAAUGUAGUAUCAAGAUACAUGACCAUCCUUUGGUGCAAUCCAAAGAACAGGAUUCGGCUUAUUCUUGUAGAUAGCAA
rnacentral:RNase_P_RNA from 1 species